UACGAAGGGGGGCUAGCGUUGCUCGGAUUGACUGGGCGUAAAGGGUGCGUAGGCGGCGCGGUAAGUCGGGUGUGAAAUCUCGGAGCUUAACUCCGAAACUGCAUUCGAUACUGCCGUGCUUGAGGACUGGAGAGGAGACUGGAAUUUACGGUGUAGCGGUGAAAUGCGUAGAUAUCGAGAGGAACACCUGCGGCGAAGGCGGGUUGCUGGGCUGACACUGACGCUGAUGCGCGAAAGCUAGGGGAGCGAACAGG
rnacentral:rRNA from 1 species